CAUGGAAAUUGAAUAAUUUCUAUUAUUUUUCUAUUUGAUAUUUAUAUUUAUGUAAUUAAAAAACAUAAUUAAAUUUUAAGCUAAAUUAAACUGAGCUCCAGGAAGACUUAUCAUUUUCUCUGAGCCAUGACUCUGAAAAUUUGGAAAGCACCAUACAAUAGGGAUUUUCAGUGAUUCAGGGAUUUCAGUGAUUUGCAAGAUUCUGCAAAGUACUUUCAAAACUGAGCAUGAGGUCUUUGCUACUGGCUUUAUGGCAUGCAAAUCACUCAGCCUCAACUCAGUUCCUUCCUCCAGUGUAAAAAAUCCUACAAGAACAACAUCUCACGGUUCCAUCAAAUGAGACCAUGUGUGAUAUUUUACACUGGACUACACAACAGACUGGAAAAGUGAUCCGCAGAGAGGCUCAUUGCUGUAAGUUCACUCCAUGUAGGAACUGUCUUGCACAAAGCUGCCACCCUGGUGUCUUCUUCCAACUUUUCCUCUAGUUGGACCUCAAAGUUUCCUUCUUCCAGCCUAUGCGGGGACCAAGAGGCCUGUCUAGAGUAGCCGCCCAGCAUCAGGCUCCGACACCCUUUUCCCUUUCCUCUGGGAGACUUGGAUAUGUGCCAGUUCAGCCCAGGUCUCCAGGUUCUGCUGCGGAAGCUUCCCACAUGGUGCCCGUCGCUUGGGACGCGGCUGGUGGGCUCCCUCCAGUGUCCUUGUGUCUUCUCUGCAGGUGUCCCGGCAGGUAGAGGAGGAGGCCGGUGGCUAGUGUUCCUGCAAGGCGGGGCUGGGGCUCCUCGAUGUCCUUGCGCUCGCCCUGCAGGUUCUGCGCCCCAGGACCCGGCAAGGACGGAAACAGGCCGGGAAGUAGUGACACCUGGGGCAGUCAGUCAUCCAGGAGCCGCCGCCACCCGCCCCACCCCCAGUCUCUGCAGGAGGUGUUUGUCUUCGCCUCUGCUCCCGGCUCUUUCUCUUUCACUUUUCUUUUCGCCAGGGGUUGGGACUCCGGGUGGAAGGCGCCCGGGGGAAUCCCAGCUGACUCGCUCACUGCCUUCGAAGUCCUGCGUCCCCCGGGAGGGAACUGGGUGGCCGCACCCUCCCGGUUGCGGUGGCUGUCGCCCCCUACCCUGCAGCCAGGACUCAAUGGAGAAUCCAUUCCAAUAUAUGGCCAUGUGGCUCUUUGGAGCAGUGUUCCAUCAUGUUCCACGAUGGUGACAUCAUACGGAGCACAGAAAUCAAUGUUAGCAGAUAACCAGCCCAUAUAAAAUCGA
ensembl:lincRNA